GCCUGUUCCAGGGAGAUCCCCGGCAAGGGGCUGAGAAACCGCUGGCACGCUCUUCGAGCAUGCGGCGCGGAAAUCCUUCGAACCUGAUCCGGCUCAUACCGGCGUAGGGAUUGGACCGCGGGCUCCGC
rnacentral:ncRNA from 2 species